UACAAUCCGAGAACUAUUUCAAUGCAGC
rnacentral:piRNA from 1 species